GACGUAGGGUGCAAGCGUUGUCCGGAUUUAUUGGGCGUAAAGAGCUCGUAGGCGGCUUGUUGCGUCGACUGUGAAAACCCGCGGCUUAACCGCGGGCUUGCAGUUGAUACGGGCAGGCUAAAGUUCGGUAGGGGAGACUGGAAUUCCUGGUGUAGCGGUGAAAUGCGCAGAUAUCAGGAGGAACACCGGUGGCGAAGGCGGGUCUCUGGGCCGAUACUGACGCUGAGGAGCGAAAGCGUGGGGAGCGAACAGG
rnacentral:rRNA from 1 species